GCAGCAGCCGCGGUAAUACGUAGGUGGCAAGCGUUGUCCGGAAUUAUUGGGCGUAAAGGGCUCGCAGGCGGUUUCUUAAGUCUGAUGUGAAAGCCCCCGGCUCAACCGGGGAGGGUCAUUGGAAACUGGGAAACUUGAGUGCAGAAGAGGAGAGUGGAAUUCCACGCGUAGCGGUGAAAUGCGUAGAGAUGUGGAGGAACACCAGUGGCGAAGGCGACUCUCUGGUCUGUAACUGACGCUGAGGAGCGAAAGCGUGGGGAGCGAACAGGAUUAGAUACCCCUGUAGUCCCUGUCUCUUAUAC
rnacentral:rRNA from 1 species